rnacentral:rRNA from 1 species
UACAGAGGUCUCGAGCGUUGUUCGGAUUCAUUGGGCGUAAAGGGCGCGUAGGCGGCGGGGUAAGUCUGGUGUGAAAUCUCAGAGCUCAACUCUGAAACUGCACUCGAUACUGCUUUGCUUGAGGACUGGAGAGGAGAUUGGAAUUCACGGUGUAGCAGUGAAAUGCGUAGAUAUCGUGAGGAACACCGGUGGCGAAGGCGGCAUCCUGGACCACGACUGACGCUGAGUGAGCGAAAGCCAGGGGAGCAAACGGG